UAUUUCAAGUGAAAAUUUACUUGAAAGAGGUGAAAAUUGUCAAAUAAGUUAUUUUUCUGUUGUUAUUUUUCUGGUGAUGACUCUAAAUGUUGAAAUAGGCUGCAGCUGAUCCAGAAUGCAGCAGCACGAGUGCUGACAGGAAUCAGCAGGAGAGACCACGUCUCUCCAGUGUUAGCGUCGCUCCAUUGGUUACCCGUAAAAUUCAGAAUCCAAUUUAAAAUUUUAUUACUUGCAUAUAAAGCCCAAAACGGCUUAGCUCCGCAUUAUUUGCAAGACCUGAUAGUGCCUUAUGUUCCUGGCAGAGCUCUCCGUUCUCAGAGUGCAGGUUUACUCGUAGUUCCUAGAGUAUCUAAAUGUAGAUUUGGAGGGCGGGCGUUCUACUAUCAGGCACCAUUACUAUGGAACCAACUUCCAAUCUGGGUUAAGGAGGCUGACACCACCUCCACCUUUAAAACUAAACUUAAAACAUUUCUGUUUAGUAAAGCCCAUAGUUAGUGUUUAGUAAACCUCUAGCUGGUGUUGGUAAAUCUCUAGGUAGUGUAAACUCUAGUGUGUUAGAGUUGCUCCUGUGGUUUCUUGUGCUGGUUCCCCCUUCUCUUCUCUUUUUUCUCUUUUGUACAUGGUGCAGCAUCCUCUGCCGGUGGCGAAGAGCAUCUCUGAAUGCACAACACCGGAACCUGCAGCGUGGGAGUGAGGGGGGCAGGGUAACGGCCCGGUCAGGCGGGGGAGAGAUUUGUCCGUCUCUUCUCCCUCUCCCUGGCCCUGCCCCUUCUCAACCUUUCCCCGACCCUGAACCUAACCUGGGACUUGCUGAUUGGGCCGGAGCUUCGGGAGCUGCGUGCUGGCCUGCGGUCCCCACCCCUGGUCAUCCCGUUGCUGCUUCCACCUGCCUGCUGUGCUGUUGCCGUCCCUGACCCACCAGUCUGGCCCUCGGCAGGAGGGUCCCCCCUUAUGAUCCAGCCUGCCAGCAGAGGGGAGAUGAAAUCCCAUGAAUUUCUGCAAGGUCUGUGACCCCCGCCCGGCAGAAUCCCCCAGUGUCAUGUGAUUUUUUUGAGCCGUUCAGAUUCUGCUCCUGUCGUGACGUCAGCACGAGUCAGCGAUCUUCCAAGCACCUGGAGCUGUUCAACGACACCUUCAGAAGACGCGCGGUCCUUCCUUGAGCCAGCAAUAGUGCAUACA